GACGAACGCUGGCGGCGUGCCUAAUACAUGCAAGUAGGACGCAGUUGCGAACGGGUGAGUAACGCGUAGGUAACUACCUAUUAGAGGGGGAUAACUAUUGGAAACGAUAGCUAAUACCGCAUACUAGUAGAUGGAACUGCGUUGUAUUAGCUAGGAGGUAGGGUAAUGGCCUACCUAGGCAAAGAUACAUAACCGACCUUGGAGGGUUGUCCGCCAAAAUGGGACUGGGGAACGGGCCCGACUCCUACCGGAGGCAGCAGUAGGGAAUUUUCGGCAAUGGGGGGAACCCUGACCGAGCAAAGCCGCGUGAGUGAAGAAGGGUUUCGGAUCGUAAAGCUCUGUUGUUAAGGAAGCGGUACUUAACCAGAAAGGGACGGCUAACUACGUGCCAGCCGCCGCGGUAAUUC
rnacentral:rRNA from 1 species